AUAGCUGUUUGGCUAAUCUGUGGGCAUCUUCUGUGAUGUCAAGUCCCUGCAGCCUCAGCAUCCUUAUCUCCACACACCAUAAGCAUGGCGGUGGAUCCUGCCCAGAGACAGCAGAUAAAGAUGGAGAAUUGGAAUAGUAAGGUGCUGUGAGAUUCUCCAAAAAGAAAGUCUGUAAUGCUACUUGUGAAGAAUGAUUUGGAAAAAAAAAAAAAAAAU